rnacentral:rRNA from 1 species
AUUGAACGCUGGCGGCAGGCUUAACACAUGCAAGUCGAGCGGUAACAGGGGAGCUUGCUCCUGCUGACGAGCGGCGGACGGGUGAGUAACGCGUAGGAAUCUACCUAGUAGAGGGGGACAACAUGUGGAAACGCAUGCUAAUACCGCAUACGCCCUAAGGGGGAAAGGAGGGGACUUUUCGGAGCCUUCCGCUAUUAGAUGAGCCUGCGUAAGAUUAGCUAGUUGGUAGGGUAAAGGCCUACCAAGGCGACGAUCUUUAACUGGUCUGAGAGGAUGACCAGUCACACUGGGACUGAGACACGGCCCAGACUCCUACGGGAGGCAGCAGUGGGGAAUAUUGGACAAUGGGCGGAAGCCUGAUCCAGCCAUGCCGCGUGUGUGAAGAAGGCCUUAGGGUUGUAAAGCACUUUCAGGGGUGAGGAAGGGUAGCUAGUUAAUACCUAGUUAUCUUGACGUAGCCCCAGAA